ACUCUCUCAGCUCUGCCCGGUUGCUCCUGACCUCGGUGGGGCGACCGUCGUUUUCGAGAGGGAAAGCAAACCGGCUUGCUGAAUGCACGGCAGGGAGGCUUCGCAAGUGGCCUCCCUGUUCCUUUUGAGAGCCGACAUUU